ensembl:snoRNA predicted gene, 23679
UUUCAGUUACUAUACAACUGAAGUGUUUUAUUGCAGUUCCCUCUGCUUAAAGCACUUGAUACAUUACUAUCUCAGCCUAGCUCUCCCAUAGCAAGACAGAGACACUUGGCUUCAAACAU